GGUGAACGCUGGCGGCGUGCCUAACACAUGCAAGUCGAGCGGUGCAGUUUGAAGCUUCGGUGGAAAGCUGCAUAGCGGCGGACGGGUGAGGAAAACGUAGGGAACGUGCCCCUUGGAGUUGGAUAGCCACGGGAAACUGUGGGUAAACCGACAUAGACUCGAGAGAGUAAAGGCCGAAAGGCGCCGAAGGGAGCGGCCUGCGGCCCAUCAGGUAGUUGGUAGUGUAAAGGACUACCAAGCCGACGACGGGUAGCCGGUCUGAGAGGAUGGCCGGCCACAAGGGCACUGAGAGACGGGCCCUACUCCUACGGGAGGCAGCAGUGGGGGAUUUUGGACAAUGGGCGAAAGCCUGAUCCAGCGACGCCGCGUGGAGGACGAAGCCCUUCGGGGUGUAAACUCCUUUUCUCAGGGAAAAAGGAUGAUGGUACCUGAGGAAUAAGCCCCGGCUAACUACGUG
rnacentral:rRNA from 1 species